rnacentral:rRNA from 1 species
AGCAGCCGCGGUAAUUCCAGCUCCAAUAGCGUAUAUUAAAGUUGUUGCAGUUAAAAAGCUCGUAGUUGAAUUUCGGAAUCAAUAUGCCGGUCAUGCCUUGGUAUGCACUGGUAUCUUUGAUUUCUCCCUUCUGACGAACUUUGAUGUCAUUAAUUUGGUGUCAUAGGGAAUCAGGACUGUUACUUUGAAAAAAUUAGAGUGUUUAAAGCAAGCUCACGCUUGAAUACAUUAGCAUGGAAUAAUGAAAUAGGACGUUUGAUUCUAUUUUGUUGGUUUCUAGGAUCGACGUAAUGAUUAAUAGGGAUAGUUGGGGGCAUUAGUAUUCAAUUGUCAGAGGUGAAAUUCUUGGAUUUAUUGAAGACUAACUACUGCGAAAGCAUUUGCCAAGGAUGUUUUCAUUAAUCAGAACGAAAGUUAGGGGAUCGAAGACGAUCAGAUACCGUCGUAGUC